UGGUCCAAAGGUAGUGAGUUAUCUCAGUUGAUUGUUCACAGUCAGUUACAGAUCAAACUCCUUGUUCUACUCUUUCCCCUCUUCUCAUUACUGCUCUUGUCUAAAAACUUUU
ensembl:misc_RNA Y_RNA Y RNA